AGUGAACGCUGGCGGUAGGCCCAACACAUGCAAGUCGAACGGCAGCACAGUAAGAGCUUGCUCUUACGGGUGGCGAGUGGCGGACGGGUGAGGAAUACAUCGGAAUCUACUUUUUCGUGGGGGAUAACGUAGGGAAACUUACGCUAAUACCGCAUACGACCUACGGGUGAAAGCAGGGGAUCUUCGGACCUUGCGCGAUUGAAUGAGCCGAUGUCGGAUUAGCUAGUUGGCGGGGUAAAGGCCCACCAAGGCGACGAUCCGUAGCUGGUCUGAGAGGGUGAUCAGCCACACUGGAACUGAGACACGGUCCAGACUCCUACGGGAGGCAGCAGUGGGGAAUAUUGGACAAUGGGCGCAAGCCUGAUCCAGCCAUACCGCGUGGGUGAAGAAGGCCUUCGGGUUGUAAAGCCCUUUUGUUGGGAAAGAAAAGCAGCAGGUUAAUACCCCGCUGUUCUGACUGUACCCAAAGAAUAAGCACCGGCUAACUUCGU
rnacentral:rRNA from 1 species